rnacentral:rRNA from 1 species
UACGAAGGGGGCUAGCGUUGCUCGGAAUCACUGGGCGUAAAGGGUGCGUAGGCGGGUCUUUAAGUCAGGGGUGAAAUCCUGGAGCUCAACUCCAGAACUGCCUUUGAUACUGAGGAUCUUGAGUUCGGGAGAGGUGAGUGGAACUGCGAGUGUAGAGGUGAAAUUCGUAGAUAUUCGCAAGAACACCAGUGGCGAAGGCGGCUCACUGGCCCGGAACUGACGCUGAGGUGCGAAGGCGUGGGGAGCGAACGGG